ACGUGCGUGCGCAUACACACUACCCCUCACCUCGCUGCUGCUGCUGUGACAGCUCCACGGACCCUGCCCAGUCGCUGCUCCCCCGCCACUCGCCUCUGUCCCCCGCACGAGGGUACCUACGACGUGCCGGCCACCCCGCUCUGCCCGAUAAGCUGAGCUGGUGCUCACGCCCCAGCAAUCCCGCCCACGGAUCUGCUGCCGCGCCGCACUGCUCUUGACGCUGGCUGCGAAUGACGCUGUGCGUGCGUCGGCUGGUGCUGGCGGCGACCCUCGCCGCUGUGGUGGCGCUGCUGCUGUGCACGAGCAGUGCGCCGGUGGCGCGUGCCGCUGGGAAGGACGACUUCACUCCUGAGCAGCGGACGAACACGCUGAAGGUGCUGCAGGCGUUCGGGCGUGCGAUCCCUGAGCUUGGGAAGAAGUGGAUAGGCAACGACUUCUGCGCGUGGGAGUACAUCAAGUGCUACUCCUCCGCCGUCAGCUUGUGGAUGGACAGCGUGGAUUAUGCCGGCACGCUGCCGGAGAUGCCUGCGGACGUCGACUACACGAACGUCGUGAUCACGCAGCUCGACUUCAGCGCAAUGGGCCAGAGGCUGAGCGGGACGCUGCCCGCCUCGUGGAGCUCGAUGACAUCGCUGAUGUCGUUGUGGCUUGAAAGGUGCGAACGUGUCACCGGCACUCUGCCCGCCUCGUGGAGCUCGAUGAAAGCGCUGAGCAGUCUCAAUCUGCAUGGCACUCAGGUCUCCGGCAGUCUGCCGCCGCAGUGGAGCUCGAUGACAUCGCUGGCCACGCUUUCUCUGCGGCUCACGAAGGUCUCCGGCAGUCUGCCGCCCCAGUGGAGCUCGAUGGCAUCGCUGACCCUUCUCGAUCUGCAGGGCGCUAAGGUCUCCGGCAGUCUGCCGUCCGAGUGGAGUGGGAUGAAGAGUGCCGAGGUCCUGCAGCUGCAGGACUGCGACCUGUCCGGCAGUCUGCCCUCCUCGUGGUCUGCGAUGCCGAAGCUGCGGGAAGUCUUACUGAGCGGCAACCACUUCUGCGGGUGUGUGCCUGAGUCGUGGGACCGGAAGGCCGGUCUCAGUGUGGACAUCGAGGACGAGCACAAGGGCAGCAAGUGCAAGCUUGAUAACCAAUGCCGCCCGAAAGCCACGCCUACUCCUGCCCCCGAGACGGAGUGCGAGGUGGAUGGGUGUGAGGUGUGCGAGGGGGACUCCGCGGCGAGGUGCGCCAGGUGCCGUGAGGGCUACUUCCUGACGAGCGAGAAGACGUGCCGGGUCAACCGCGAUGGCGGCGUUGCGGCCGCGUCGAGCGGAGCGGCUGCUGCCGCUGCUGUGUGCAUGGCUGUGCUGCUGAGCGUGGGGCUGGCGGCGUGAGGAUGCCGCUGCUGUCGCGCGCAGGCGGCGGCACCCGCUGCGUGGCACACGGCUGCGUGCGUGCCUGUGGGCUGAUGGGGGCAGAGCGCGGGUGUGUGUGGAGCGGGGCAGCCGCUGGAGAGAGGGGGAGGGCGAUAGCGGAGGCGCAAGGGCCGCGGUGUUUGUGCGGCCAUGUGCGGGUGUGCGGCACACGCGGCGCUGCGUGCAUCGGCUUUGGACCGACAGCCCGCACCCCCUUCCGUCGCCUCCACUUCUCCCUCGCUCCCUCGUUGCACGUGAGAGGCGCGCACCCAUGGCUGCUGCGGCGCACACGCAAGGCAGCGUGUAUUGUGUCUCGGUGCGACCUCUGCAUGGCGGCCCCGCUCUGCGACACCUUGUUGCCCGGGCACUCCGGCGGCGUGCGCUCUGUCCCCCUCUCCUGUCACGUGUCGUGAUGCGCUGCUGCGCUGAGGAUGCGUGCACACGGCCUGCCAGCACGGCUGCUGCACGAGCCGCAGCAAUGGCGUACAGCAGGGUGUGGGCGUCGGGCGCAGUGCUGGUCUGGUGAGGCGGACCCCUCUUAUCUGUGGUGCCCCUGCUGCCUCCCCUCCCCCUCGGCACGACGCCCUCGCUGCCCUCUCACCCCCGGCUGCUACAGGAGAGACCGACGCCCACGCGCGGACGCAGACACACACCGUCGUGCACCGUUCGCGCUUUCCCCCGCUGUCGCGCCGGCACGGAUGCACGAGGAUGCGGGGGCGUGCGCACGUAUGUGCGUGUGUGCGUGCCGGCUGUUGUCUGUCGCUCUCUCUCUGCGACCAGCACUCGGCACCCGCGCCGAUGGAAUGUGUGCGCGGCGGUGGAGGCUCGCCUUGGGCCGCGGGUGCGGACGUCCGCCACUGGCUGUCUGCGGUGCGGGCUGCUGUGCUGCAGCGCCUCGAGGCCCCCUCUCCCGCCAGGGCGAGCGAGCGAGCCUCUGCUGCCGUGUGGGCGACGCACGCAUGCACCGUCCGGGCCUCUUCAACGUGCUUCGAUAGCGGUGCUGUGUUUUGGCCGUGUGGGCGGGUGCUGCGGUGGCGCCUGGUGUGGCUGUGCUGGCACGCCUUGCCGCGCCCCUUGCGCCGCUGCCAUCGGCGGCUUCGUCGCUGACGUUGCCGCUCGCACGCGUGCUCGGGUCGUCUGUGCAGCAGCGGUGGUGUGCCGGAGUCGGCGGCACGCCGUCGAACCCUGAUUGGCGCCUCCGCCAGGUGCGACGGGGAGGCUGGGGGAUGGGGAGGGCGUGGGCGCCCUCGUGCGCGGCAUGCGGGGAUGCGCGUGCGGCGGCGCUCUACUGCGCUGAGUAGUGAGGCUCGGUGCACGCGGCGCGAUGACACGCAGCCUCGCUACCGGGCCACCCCGCUGUGCGUACGCAGCGGGUGAGCAGGCCCGUGCUCUCCCCUGCGCCUUGCCCCUCUCCCCCACCCUCCUCUCUCGCAUGCCGGCGAGGGAGGGGUGGCACGUGCGCGUGUGCCGCUGCGCUUGCGAGUGCGUCUGUGCGUGGGCCCUCACCACGUGCUCCGGUCACGCCUUUUCGGCUGGCCACUCGCGGCGCUGAGGGCGGUGUGCCCCUCCCCCGAGCGCCGUCGCACUCUCUUCCACGCGCCUGCGCGGGCUUCUUCGUGUGCUGUGCUCAGCCGUGCGCUCUCACCUCUUUCCCUUUUCAUUCGCUUGUCUUCUCUCUUCUCCCCGCACUGCGGUCUCCCCUCCUCUGCCGUGCGGUGCGCAGGCGGGUGACUUGCCGUUGCGUCUCCCCCUUUCGUGGAGCGCUGAGCCGAUCCCCCUUCGGCCUCCCUCCUCCCUCCUCCCGUGUGGGUCCUGUCUGUUGUACAUCGUCGGACCGUCUCUUCGUGUUGCUUCUCCGCCCCUUCCACAAAUCUGCGCUCGCCUGUGCCGCCGCUCGGACUUGAGCCUUACUGUGAUUGUAUUCUCACGGUGCGUCUCCGUGUGUGUGUGUGUGCCACGCACCGCUUCUUCCAUGUGUGUCCUUGCUUGCUCUCGUCUGCCCCCCCCCCCCCCCUCUGCCUCACACAUUCCGUGCGUGUGUGCAUCACCGUUGGGCGGCGACAUCGGUGCCCGUCCCUGCCACCCUCUACUCCCUCAUUCGCAUCUUGCCACUUCGUGGGCGGUGCGUGCAUGCAUGGAUGUAUAUACACGCAUAGAGGGGUGGGGACGCGUGCGUGUGUGCGCGUACACACGCAUGUGUGUCGGUGCACCACUAUAUAUAUGUGUGUGUGCGUGUACGCCGACAGACAGGUGUGUGGGUGCGCAUGUACAUGUAGACAUGCGUAUCGAUGUAUAUAGCCAACCGCGUGCCGUGUGUAGGCGUGUGUGCGUGUAUAUCAGUGUGUGCCGGCACGUGUGUCGCGCCACGCUCUCUUGCCCGCCUCCCCUGUGCCUGUCACUCGCUCUGGGCGCGCUGGCGGCGGGCGCCGGGUGGUGGCCGCGCGGAAGGUGGGCGGCGGCUCUUCCCUAUUUCUGUCUUUCUCUAUUUCUCUGUUUCCUACUCGCGUGAACAAACG
rnacentral:misc_RNA from 1 species